rnacentral:lncRNA from 1 species
GGUCGUGAAUCCCCAUUGGAAAUUGUGUUUUUUUAGAAAGUGUGUGUUAUAAGCACGUUGAUGUUGAAUAUUUGAGAUAUUUUGAAUGAUUUGACCUUUUGGUCUUAAUGGAGUUGUUUUGAACUCGAGUGUGAAAGAAAUCCACAACGUGGUUGAUUUUGAUAGAUGGGAAGCAUGAUGACUCCCGAUGUAUAUUUAUAUAUUACUGAAAUUGUUUUGUUGUGGAUUGUCUUUGAAAUGAUCUGAGCUAAGUCCGGGAGAAAUCUUUAGCACCGAGUGGGAGGUAUAAAGCGACCUUACUUCCCUAGAACUACGUGCCCCAGUAGAAGUG